CGCCUUAACUCAGUCGGCGCUGGAGCGCCUCGCUGGGCCGGUCUCUGGUGAAGGGGGUGGGUGUUAGGACUCUGAGCGUCAUACACUAGGAUCGCCGAGAUCGUGAACUUGCAGGGAGAGACAGCCCUCAUCCAGUGAGAUAGGUCUCGCCCCGCACACCCACGCGUCCACACACUCUCGAGCCAGCUAGAGGAAGGCAGUAGAGAAGGACCAGUGCUGUCAAAGAAGGAAAUAGGGGCUAAGGCGCCAAAGCCGUUUAAAAUGAACAGAGCCAUCAACUGGGCUGUGCUGUACCAUUCAUUCAUUCUUUCAUUCAUUCGUUUAGCAACUAUUUCUUAAGCGCCUUAUUUUGGGAAGCGUUGUGCUUGGCACGAUGAAAUGAUACCAAAGACGCAUGAUGCGCAAGCUACUUUUGAGCACCAGGACUUUGCUGCUGCGGGCCGGUGAAUUCAGAGAAGGCUUUCACGGAGGAGCUGGGAUGAGAGCAGGAUCUUGAAAGAAGCCAAGGGGUCUUGUGAUGGUGUCUCAAAACUUGAGUAGCAGCUGAGGAUAUGAAGGCAAGGAUCUGCCUGGAGAUGUCAGCCCCAAAUGUACUCAGCACAUUAAUUACUCAGUUGAAUUGGAGCAUGGUCUUCCCCAAGCUGAAGCAGUAAAAGAACAGAUGUGAGCAAGACAGAGAAUGUUUCUGACAUGAAGAUCUACAUCUGAGUCCAGGAAAGUACACUUCGUUGCCAAGAUGAGCCCUGUGGACAGUUCACGCCUCUGCGAGUUUCUUUUGUAAUUUAUAGUCACCUCAAAAGAGCCUUCCUUAAUUGAACUCUUAUGGUCUAGAAUACUUGCCUGUCUACUGAGGACUAUCAUUUGUUGUGGGUAUAGAUAUUUUUAAGUAAGUGAAGGAAUGGGUAGGAUGAACACAGAAUGACUUAUGUAAACUCCUAGUGCUGGAAUUAGGAGACAGCUUUCAAGUUUCUAAAAGGCAAACUUGGAACAUGCAAAAAGUAGUAUACUUCCUUACUCAUCCACCACUUGGGGUUUUGAGGAGAAAAGAGAAGUAAGAAGGGUUGAGGAGAAGAAAAACAGAACGGAAGAGUUGGGAGAGGAAGGUGAAAGGGUGCUCUGGAGUAAUAUGCACCUGUUUGGAAGUGGGGAAGUGGCAUGAACACCAGCAAAAGAAGAACCAAUGUGGAGUUCCUCCUUGCACAUCUCUCUCUUCCCUCUUGAAGGCCUGGGGUGAACCCACAGCAUUGUUCUAGAGUUGAGAGAGAACCGCCCUCAGGACACCUCCCUGAAUUCUCUCCAAAGAAUUCAGAGUGCCCCCAGUCCCAAUCAGUGCCCUCCAUCAUAAAUAUUUAUGGAUAAUAAUGACAAUAAUUGCAUUCGUAAUGGGAAUGGCAGUAACCAUUUAUGGAGUGCUUAUUGUGUGCCAGGCACUGUAUUAAGCUCUUGACCUGCUAUAUUGUUUGUAAUGCUCCAACCAGCUUAUGAGCAGGUAUUAUUAUUCCCACUUCACAGACAGAGAAAGUGAAGCCUGACAAGUUGCCCGAGAGCACACAGCUGCUGGGCAGUGGCACAGCCCAGGUCCAUCUGACCACCUCCAGUGCCACACAGUUGACCUCUGCAUGGCGUGUAUGCCUGCCCACAGGUCUCUGCCUCAGAGAUCCAAACCCAUUUGUUGUUUAGACUUCCCACUUGAGCACUGAAUAAGUCACCCUGUAACCAUUUAUUGUAAGCCUGGUCUCCUAAAUUUGUUGAUAUAAGGGCUUGAUCACAUACCUCCUUUGUGCUCCCCCACGGCAUAAUCCCCAAUCUCUUCCUUAUCAGCCUCCAACUGUGGGACAACUCCAAGACUUCAUUGCCCUGCUUCUGCCCCCUAGAUGAGAGAAGGUCAGACAAUUCUGCAGUGUGAUUCCACACUACAACUUUUUAUUUUGAAAUACUCUCUUCUAAGUCUAUCUAAUAAAAGACAAUUCCGGUAGGGAAAGAA